GAACACCGUCUACCAAAUGAAACUAAACAGAAAAGUAAUGGAGAAUUUUAUUUUGUCAUUUGCCGUUUCAGUCUUGUUAUUACAUAGCUUUGCCCUCUCCUUGAAUUCUAUCACCACUGAUAAGCAUGCCCUUAUUCCCUCAAAAACUCCAUCACUUCUGACCCUUAUGCUAUCUUGAGCACCAAUUGGUCUCAAAACACAUCAGUCUGUGAUUGGAUUGGUGUGUCGUGCGGCCUCAAACACCUCCGUGUCACGUCUCUCAAUCUCUCCAGCUACGACCUUGUUGGAACUGUUGCUCCACAUCUCGGAAACCUUAGGUUUCUCAGAUAUUUGGACAUCAGUUUCAACAAUUUCAAGGGGAUCUUACCCUUUGAGCUCUCUAAACUGCAUCAUUUGAAUGUGAUAAAUGUGGGAGCAAAUUCAUUCACUGGAAAAAUACCCACAUGGUUGGGCAGUUUACCUCAAUUAGAGAAACUCUAUUUGUACAAUAAUACUUUCUUAGGUACAAUUCCUUCAUCUUUGUCUAACCAGAUGUUACAAAUAUUAAACUUAAACUAUAACCAGUUGAGUGGGUCCAUACCAUAUGCUAUUUUCAAUGUGUCUUCCCUUACAGAAAUUAGAAUUAGAAAUAAUAGCCUAUCUGGUUGGCUACCGAGUGAUAUGUGUGAUAAUCUCCCAAAUAUUGAAGCACUUGAUAUUUCGGCCAACCAACUUUCUGGACAAAUUCCACCCAACAUAUGGAAAUGCAGAUAUCUUCAAGAGCUGGAAUUAUCUAUCAAUCAUUUCAAUGGAAAAAUCCCAAGUGAAAUUGGAAGUUUGAGUAUGCUUAAAGAGCUGUACUUGGGCCUUAACAAUUUCAGAGGAAUGAUCCCUGAAGAAAUAGGAAAUCUUUCACAGUUAGAGGUGUUGAGCAUCCCAUCCUCCUCUCUGACCGGAAAUAUUCCAUCUUCAGUGUUCAAUAUAUCUUCGUUGAAAUUCAUGAUCCUAUCAAAUAACAGUUUGUCUGGAAAUAUGUGAACUUUUCUCAAUCUGCCUUUGUUAGAGGAGUUAUAUCUGGAUCAUAACAACUUACAAGGUCAGAUUCCACUAAAUGUAUGGAAAUGCAAACAUGUUGAGAUCUUGUACCUAAACAACAACAAUCUCAGUGGUUAUGAUCUUGCUGGACCUGUUUCUCCACAUCUCGGAAACCUUUCGUUUCUCAGAUAUUUGGAUAUCAGUUCUAACAGUUUCACGGGGAUCCUACCCUUUGAGCUAUCUAAACUGCGUCGUUUGAAGGUGAUGAAUGUGGGAGCAAAUUCAAUCACCGGAGAAAUACCAACAUGGCUGGGGAAUUUACCUCAACUUGAGAAACUCUAUUUGUACACUAAUAAGCUGAGUGGGUCCAUACCACAUAGUAUUUUCAAUGUGUAGAAAUUAGGAUUGGAAAUAAUAGCCUAUCAGGUUGGCUCCCAAGUGAUAUGUGCAAUAAUAAGCCCAACAUCAGAAUCAUGUUACUUUCAUGGAACCAACUUGAAGGACAAAUUCCGCUAAAUAUAUGGAAAUGCACACGGCUUCAGAUCCUCUCAUUAUCCUUCCACAAUUUCAAUGGCAACAUCCCAACUGAAAUUGGACGAUUGGGAAGGCUUACAAACUUGUACUUGGGACAUAUCAAUGGUUAUCGAGGUAUAAAUUUCGUUUUACUCCAAUAUGUGAUUCUAUUGAAUAUGUAUGCAAAAUUGAUCAUCAUCUUCACACCAAAAAAUUAUUU